rnacentral:rRNA from 1 species
AACGCGAAGAACCUUACCUACUCUUGACAUCCAGAGAACUUUCCAGAGAUGGAUUGGUGCCCUCGGGAACUCUGAGACAGGUGCUGCAUGGCUGUCGUCAGCUCGUGUUGUGAAAUGUUGGGUUAAGUCCCGCAACGAGCGCAACCCUUAUCCUUUGUUGCCAGCGGUUCGGCCGGGAACUCAAAGGAGACUGCCAGUGAUAAACUGGAGGAAGGUGGGGAUGACGUCAAGUCAUCAUGGCCCUUACGAGUAGGGCUACACACGUGCUACAAUGGCGUAUACAAAGAGAAGCGACCUCGCGAGAGCAAGCGGACCUCAUAAAGUACGUCGUACUCCGGAUUGGAGUCUGCAACUCGACUCCAUGAGGUCGGAAUCGCUAGUAAUCGUAGAUCAGAAUGCUACGGUGAAUACGUUCCCGGGCCUUGUACACACCG